GAUAAACGCUGGCGGCGUGCUUAACACAUGCAAGUCGAACGAAGUUUUUCCUUCGGGAGACACUUAGUGGCGGACGGGUGAGUAACGCGUGGGUAACCUGCCCUGUACAGGGGGACAACAGCUGUAAACGGCUGCUAAUACCGCAUAAGCCCUUAGCACUGCAUGGUGCAUAGGGAAAAGGAGCAAUCCGGUACAGGAUGGACCCGCGUCUGAUUAGCCAGUUGGCAGGGUAACGGCCUACCAAAGCGACGAUCAGUAGCCGAUCUGAGAGGAUGUACGGCCACAUUGGGACUGAGACACGGCCCAGACUCCUACGGGAGGCAGCAGUGGGGAAUAUUGCACAAUGGAGGAAACUCUGAUGCAGCGACGCCGCGUGAGUGAAGAAGUAUUUCGGUAUGUAAAGCUCUAUCAGCAGGGAAGAAAAUGACGGUACCUGACAAAGAAGCACCGGCUAAAUACGUG
rnacentral:rRNA from 1 species